rnacentral:rRNA from 1 species
AGAGUUUGAUCCUGGCUCAGGACGAACGCUGGCGGCGCGCUUAACACAUGCAAGUCGAGCGAGAACCAGGCCUUCGGGCCUGGGGAAAGCGGCGAACGGGUGAGUAACACGUGGGUAAUCUGCCCUCGGCACCGGAAUAGCCCGGGGAAACCCGGAUUAAUGCCGGAUAGCCUCUCCAGCCCUUGGGUUGGUGAGAAAAGGUAGCUUCGGCCUCUGGCCGAGGAGGAGCCCGCGGCGGAUUAGCUUGUUGGUGGGGUAAUGGCCCACCAAGGCGACGAUCCGUAGCUGGUCUGAGAGGACGAUCAGCCACACUGGGACUGAGACACGGCCCAGACUCCUACGGGAGGCAGCAGUGGGGAAUCUUGCGCAAUGGGCGAAAGCCUGACGCAGCGACGCCGCGUGCGGGAAGAAGGCCUUCGGGUUGUAAACCGCUUUCAGGAGGGACGAAGCCACUCGGGUUAAUAGCCCAGAGGGUGACGGUACCUCCAGAAGAAGCCCCGGCUAACUACGUGCCAGCCGCCGCGGUAAUUC